rnacentral:rRNA from 1 species
AUACCUAUUCGAAGGGAUAGGGUCGGUUCGGCCGGGUUUCACACAGGUGUUGCAUGGCUGUCGUCAGCUCGUGUCGUGAGAUGUUGGGUUAAGUCCCGCAACGAGCGCAACCCUCAUCCUUAGUUACCAUCAGGUAAUGCUGGGGACUUUAAGGAAACUGCCAGUGAUAAACUGGAGGAAGGUGGGGAUGAUGUCAAGUCAUCAUGGCCCUUAUGGAGUGGGCUACACACGUGCUACAAUGGUGGCUACAAUGGGCUGCAAAGUCGCGAGGCUAAGCCAAUCCCUUAAAAGCCAUCUCAGUUCGGAUUGUACUCUGCAACUCGAGUACAUGAAGUUGGAAUCGCUAGUAAUCGUGGAUCAGCACGCCACGGUGAAUACGUUCUCGGGUCUUGUACACACUGCCCGUCACGCCAUGGGAAUUGGUUUCACUCGAAGCU